AUCACUUCUUGGCCUUUUGGCUAGGAUCAAGUGUAGUAUCUGUUCUGAUCAGUUUAAUGUCUGGAAGGAAAAGAAAGAAAUCCAGAAGGAAGAAGAAUCAAG
rfam:Pan troglodytes isolate Yerkes chimp pedigree #C0471 (Clint) chromosome 6, whole genome shotgun sequence.